rnacentral:rRNA from 1 species
AUACGGAGGGUGCAAGCGUUACUCGGGAUCACUGGGCGUAAAGCGCGCGCAGGCGGUCUUUUAAGUUGGAUGUGAAAGCCUACGGCUCAACCGUAGAACUGCAUCCAAAACUAUUAGACUAGAGUGUGGGAGAGGAAGAUGGAAUUAGUUGUGUAGGGGUAAAAUCCGUAGAGAUAACUAGGAAUACCAAAAGCGAAGGCAAUCUUCUGGAACACUACUGACGCUGAGGCGCGAAAGCGUGGGGAGCAAACAGGAUUAGAAACCCUAGUAGUCC